rnacentral:lncRNA from 10 species
AGUCCCUGGUGCUAAAAAGGUUAGGGACCAGGUCUGUGGAAAAAAUGUCUUCCACAAAACCAGUCCCUGGUGCUAAAAAGGUUGGGGACCACUGCUCUACUUAACACUUUCACUAGGAUCCCUUAAAGAGAGGACUAAAUAAUCAUCACAAUAACUUUCCUUUCUGUUUAUAAAGAAUAGAUACCAAUUAGAACAAAUACCUGAGAAAAAUGUGGUACUGUGUUGCAGUCACACAGUCUUCAUCUUCUGCUAUAUAAGCAGUGGUUUGUUACCCUUUUCCCUCCUGUAAGCUGCUUUCACGAGUCAACCCUGACCACCAAUAUGGGAACUCAGGUAAUGAUAAUAGCCAUGACUUAUUGAGAACUUACUGAAUAAUAAGACUUUUGCAUACAUUAUGGUGGCCAGCUAAGAGCUGUCUCCUCAAACCCAUUUGCCCCCUCUUCACCGUAGUGAGCUGUCACCAUGGGUGCGCAGCUGCUCCAGGCACAGACAGGGAGCCCCAUGCAGUGGAUGACAGAGCUGUCCCACCUGCCAGGGUCCUUGAAUGGUCUCGUGGCACAGAUCCUGCUGUGGGCAGUUACUGGAGAGGCAUAAACUUCCAUUUGAGGAAUCUGUUUGAUUGGGCACUUUAGUCAAACACCAACUAAUAUAAUUACCUCAGCUAAUCCCUAAAAAACACAGGGGAACUAAGAUGUAAGUACCACCUACCUCAUUGAGUUACUGUAAGGAUGAGAAACUGCAUGCAGAGUCCUCAUAUACACAUUUUCACUACUCCUAUUUGAAAACAUUUGUACUAUUAUUAGCCCCAUUUUACAGAUAAGAAAGUGGUAAAUAAAAUGCUCAAGACCGUAUAGUUAAUGUGUGGUAGCGCCAGAGUGGGAACUUAGACAUCCAGCCUUAAAACUGAUCUUUUAACCUCUGUGCUAUUCUGCUUCCAGAAGGAUGAAAUGAGAUCAUACAUAAAGAGCUUGGCCCAGCUGAGGAGCCGUCACCUAACCGUGCUCAGGAGUGCAUCAUGGUUGAGAGUGUGGGCUGUGGAGGUGAUGGGCAUCCAAUGGCAUCCAAUUCUGCCCUGCUAGUAUUAGAUUUGUGCUUAGGCAGAAACCUUGGUUUUCUCAUCUGUGAAAAGAGGGUGAUACUACCAACCUUAUAAGGCUGUAGUGAAGAUUAAAGGAAGUAACAUGUACCAACGGCUUAUGACCGAGCCAGGCACAAGGCAGCGUUCAAUGAUGCAAGCAGAGGAAGAAGGGAACAGCUGGGGCUUCCUGCCCGUUUCCUCUGUCCUAACAGCUCCUUUUUGCAGACACUGGGAAUCAAAACCAAAACGCAUGCAACCUUCCACCUUGAAGAACAGCACCACAUCAUCUCUUUGCUAAGCCUGAUUCCCGUUUUCUGGAUAGGAAACUGACACACAAAGUAUCUCCAGAAUCAUAUCAGAGGGUCCCGGUGAACAUCAAAUGAAGAACUAUGUGUAAGCGCCAGGUACAGUGUACCUGGCACGUAUUAGGUUUUAAUAAACGGCAACCAACUCUGACUAACGGUUGUCCCUGGGGAACACCUGCCAGGCACAGAGGGAGGCCCUACGGAGGCGCAGGGCAGAACUGGGCAGCAGCCGUCUAGGGAAGUGGCGGCGGAUUAGAGAAACGGGCGGCCAGGCACAGGCACCCCCUACGAGUGAGAUCUGGCCCCUCGAGCCAGAUCUCCAGCCAGAUGCCUCCAGCAUCUGCUGCCGCGGAGAGCACGCACCAGGUCCCUCCUGCCCGGCAACAGGCGCACUCCGAGCGAGCCCAGCGCCUCUGCUCACCAUGCCAGGUCCCGCUGCCAGAGGCCUAGAGGAGAAGCCCAGCUAGGGGCCGGCGUCUGGACGCCCGUGUCCCGACUGCGCGGGGGACCGCUUCAUCUUCUGCCAUGACUGGAAGCUUCCUGAGGCCCUCAACAGAAGCAGAUGCUGGCACUAUGCUUCAUGUACAGCCUACAGAACCAUGAGCCAAAUAAAUCUCCUUUCUUUAUAAAUUAUCCAGUCUCAGGUAUUCCUUUAUAGCAAUGCAAAUAGACUAACACAUGUUUCCACAAAGAAAACCCCAGGGUUGGCCACGUGCAGUGGCUCACACCUGUAGUCCUAACACUUUAGGAGGCUGAGGCAGGAGGAUCGCCUGAGUCAAGGAGUUUGAGACCAGCCUGGGCAACAUGGUGAAACCUCAUCUCUAUAAAAAAUGCAAAACAUUUGGCCAGGCAUCAUGGUGCACGCCUGUUAUCCUAGCUACUUGGGAGGCUGAGGUGGGAGGAUUACUUGAGCCUGGAAGGUCGAAGCUGCAGUGAGCCGUGACUGGGCCACUGCACUCCAGCCUGGGUGACACAGUGAGACCCUGCCUCAAAAAAAAGAAAAAAGAAAAAGAAAAGAAAGAAAGCCCCAGAGUCAGACAUUUAAGGUAGAAAUAAUAUUGAUUCUGCACAAACUGUUCAAGGAAGUUGAAGAUGAGUGAAUACGUCCCAAAUCACUGAAUGGUCCAGCAUUACUCUGACAUCAAAACCAGGUAAAGACCUUACAAGGCAAGAAAACUAUACACCAAUAUACCUAUAUGAACAUAGAUGCAAUAAUUCUCAACAAAACUUUAGCAAAUUGGAUGUCUCUUUAUAUUUAAAAGGACAAGUACAUCAUGAGCACAUGAGAUUUAUCACAAGAAUGCAAGAGUGAUUUAACAUCUGAAAAUCAAGCAAUAUAAUUUACCAUACUAACAGACCAUAUGAAAAAACAUGAUUAUCCCAGUCAAUGCAAAAAACACAUUUGGGAGAAGCCAACACCUUUUCAUAAUAAAAACACUGAACAAACUAAGAAUAGAAGGGAAUUACAUCCAUCUCAUAAAGGGCAUCUCCAAAAAACAACCCAUAGCUAACAGUAUACUUCAUGUGAAAGACUGUAUGUUUUCUCCCUAAGAUUGGGAACUAGACAAAGAUGUCUGUUCUCACUGCUUCUAUUCAGCUUUGUAUGGGGGGUUCUAACCAGAGCAUUAGGUGGAAAAAAAGGCAUUCAGAUUGAAAAGGAAGAAAUAAAACUGUGUUUAUUCACAGAUGACAUGGUCAAAUAUAGAGAAAAUCUGAUGGAAUCUAUUUUUAAUAGCUACUAGAAUAAGUGAUUUUAGCAAAGUUACAGGAUAUAAGAUUAAUAUACAACAGUCUACUGUAUUUCUAUAUACUAGUAAGGAACAAUUAGAAAUUGGAAUUUUUUAAAUACUGUUUUCUUCUUUUUUUUUUUUUUUUUUUUGAUAUAGGGUCUUACUGUGUUGUCCAGGCCGGACUGCAGUGGAAUGAUCAUAGUCCACUGCAGCCUCAACCUCCUGGGCUCAAGUGAUCCUCCCACCUCAGCCUCCUGAGUAUUUGUGACUUCAGGCAUGCACCACCAUGCCCAGCUAAUUUUGUAAAUUUUUAUUUAUUUUUUCUUUUUUCCCCUCUUUUGUAGAGAACACGGUCUCGCUAUAUUGCCCAGGCAGGUCUCAAACUCCUGGGCUUAAGCUAUACCCCACCUUUGCUUCCCUAAAUGAUAGGAUUACAGGCAUGAUCCACUAUGCUUGGCUAUUUUUAUUUCUUUUGUAAAGUGGAGGUCUCACUAUGUUGCCUAGGCUGAUCUUGAACUCCUAGGCUCAAGCAAUCCUCCUAUCUCAGCCUCCCAAAGCCAUGCUGGGAUUACAGGCAUGAGCCACCAGGCCCAGCCUAAAAUACCAUUUUCAAUAACACUUAAAAUAUACUUAGGGAUAAAUCUGACAAAAAUGUGCAAGAUCUGUAAACUGAAAACUAGGUAUGAACAUGUAUUGUGCAACUUGCUCUUUCCCUUGAACAUCUGUUUGUGAAAUUCAUCCAUAUUGAUACAUGCAGCUCUAAUCCAUUCUUUUUCAUUGCUACAUAGUAUUCCAUUGUCUCAAUAAACCACAAUUUACUUAAUCAUUUUCUUAUUGAUGGACAGGCAGGUUAUAGCCAAAAUCUUACUACAGCACCAUUGCUAUAAACUGUCCCUCUGUACAUAUUUGUGAGUUUUUCUAAGGUAUAUCUCCAGGAGUUGCUGUGUUAUAUGUAUACCCUAUAACACAACAACCCCUGGAAAACUGCUUAGAAAAACUUAAAAUAUUAAAUAUUGCCAAAUUGCUUUCUAAAGUGAUUAUAACAAUUUACCUUCCACUCAAGAGAGUAUAAAAGUUCUAAUGUCCCCACAUCUUUGCCAAUACUUGGAUCAUCACACUCUUAAAGAUUAGUCCAUUAAAGAGAUGUAAAAUAGUAUUAUAUUGGGGUUUUAAUUUGCAUUUCUCUAAUUAGUAGUGAGGUUUUACAUCUUUUCAUAUGUUCAUUGAUCAUUUGAGUUUUCUCUUCUGAUAAUUGUUUAUUCAUAUUUUUUGCACAUUUUUCUAUUAAGUUAUUUUUAUUUAUAUUGAUUUGUAAGUGUUCUUUGCAGAAUCUGGAUACCUAUCUUUUGUCAGUUAAGUGUUAUGAGUAAUUGUGUUUUCAAUCUCUUUAAUGUGUCUUUUGAUAAUCAAAAGUUUUUAAAAUUUUAAUGGUGUCAAAUUCAUAAAUGUUUUCCUUUAAGGUUUGUGAUUUUGUGUCUUAUUUUAAAUUUUUUUCAUUACCAUGAGGCCACAAAAAUAUUCCCUUCUAUUUUCUUCUAAAAGUCUGUAUUAGUCCCUUUUCACGUUGCUAUAAAGAAACACCUGAGAUGGCGUAAUUUACAAAGAAAAGAAUUUUAAUUGGCUCACUGUUCUGUAGGCUGUACAGGAAGCAUGGUGCUGGCAUCUGCUCAGCUUCUGGGGAGACCUCAGGAAACUUAUAAUCAUAGCAGAGAGCAAAGGGCGAGCAGGCACGUCACAUGGCCAGAGUGAAGCAAGAGAGGUAAAGAGCUGCUACACACUUUUGCAUGCCCAGAUCUCACAUUAACUCACUCACUAUCAUGGAGAACAGCACCAAGAUGUUGGUGCUAAACUAUUCAUGAGAAAUCCCCCUCCAUGAUCAGUCAUCUCCCACCAGCCCUCACCUCCAACAUUGGGGAUUACAAUUCGACGUGAGAUUUGGGCAAGGACACAGAUCCAAACCAUAUCAUCUUAAAUCCACUGGAACAGACUGAUUUGUUUGAGGUAGAGAUCCAGUUUUGUUUUUUUUCUCAUAUAGAUGACAAAUUGUACCAGCCCCAUUUAUUGACUACUCCAUCCUUUUCCUGCAUUACCAUCUCUGCCAUCUACAAAGUUUCUAUUUAUGUGUGGGUUUAUUCUGGGAUCUCUAACUCUGUUCCAUUGGUCUAUUUAUUUACCCCUGUGCCCAUGUGUCUUUAUUAUUUAUUAUAGCUUUACACAAUUUGCUCCAAUCAGU